GGCUAUCGCCAAGCGGUAAGGCAGCGGCUUUUGAUGCCGCCAUUCCCUGGUUCGAAUCCCGUCGUAGCCACCA
rnacentral:tRNA from 1 species